rnacentral:rRNA from 1 species
GUAGGGAAUAUUGGGCAAUGGAGGCAACUCUGACCCAGCCAUGCCGCGUGCAGGAUGACGGCCCUCUGGGUUGUAAACUGCUUUUAUACGGGAAGAAAAAAUACUACGUGUAGUAUACUGACGGUACCGUAAGAAUAAGGAUCGGCUAACUCCGUGCCAGCAGCCGCGGUAAUACGGAGGAUCCAAGCGUUGUCCGGAUUUGUUGGGUUUAAAGGGUGCGUAGGCGGAUCUUUAAGUCAGUGGUGAAAGCCUGCAGCUUAACUGUAGAAUUGCCAUUGAAACUGAAGAUCUUGAAUGUGGUUAAAGUAGGCGGAAUGUAUCAUGUAGCGGUGAAAUGCUUAGAUAUGAUACAGAACACCGAUAGCGAAGGCAGCUUGCUGAACCAUUAUUGACGCUGAGGCACGAAAGCGUGGGGAGCGAACAGGAUUAGAAACCCUUGUAGUCC